UAAAUCACAGUAACUACGUACUUUAAAGUAACUAACAAUUAAACAAAAUUUAUAAAAAUAUGAAUUAAAUAUAAUAUACAUCGUUAUAUUACUAGCCAGACCGAUAAGCAAACACAGUACCCAAGUUUGCUUUGCACCAGGCGUCUGCGUCCGAUGAAACCAUCUAUAUGAUGAUAAAUUGUAUCAAUGUUUAUCAACUGUAAACACUAUUUGUAAUUGUAUAUGUUCACCAUGAAAUGUUAUUUUCACUGACACAAUAAAGGCCGAUUAUCACACCCUGCUGAAAAAAUGUCUGUACCGGGGUCACAGGAAUGCAGGAAACGAAAAGAUGCCAUUCAAAGUGAAGGGAAGAGAAAAGCUCACAAGACUGAAACUACUGAAACAACAGCAUUAAUUACUGGUAUCAAAAAGCUCUUUACAAAGUUUUACAAAUACUUUAUAAAAUUUAAGUAUCAAAUAAUCAUGUUUGUGUUAUAUAUAUAUAUUGUAUUUACACAUCUGUUCUUUUUUUAUCCAAUGUACAUAUCUAACAGAUAUAUUUGUGGUGGUAGCCGGUAGAAAAGAAUGGGAUAACAUAUAUUUUUUUAAAAGCAAAACGUUAUAGUAAACUGGUCAAGCCAGCCUGGGCCAUAUGCAAAAAGAGUGUGACAGGUUCUCACGUAUGUCUUUUUGCGUUGCGGGGGUCCCGGCUGUUCAUUCGUGAUCGCCUUAAUUCACUUGCAUACCCAGGUGCUAUGCCACUGGGUUGAGAUAGAUUCAUGUUGUCCAGUAGUUAAUCGAUCACAAAUGGUGCUCUCAGUGGAUUAAAAUAAAAAGGUAAAAAUUCAAAAUAUGGGUUGCCAAGUAUACUUUGGCGACUAUUAAUAUAGACUAAAGGUCGAUAUUGACUAACUGUUAACAGAGGCAAAAUGUGUAAGAAGCAAUGGUUCAGAGCCUAAUCUUGUGUUACGCAUUACUGUACUGUGUACAAAUAUUUCAAGGGUGGUUCCACAGUUGUUCUCCAUGAAUCAAAUACAGAUCCUUUUUGGCAAUAGAAACUAAACUGGCUUGAUAAGUGGUUUACCCUCUCCAUCGAAUGCCUGCUGAGCUGAAUCCAGAUAUCUCAAAGUCUUGUCGAUGACCAAAGUGGGAAGAUGAUGAUCAACGAAAGACCAGCCAUAAUGAGCACAGGGACUUUUCCCCAGUAAAACACUGAUUCUAUGCGACUGAAAUGGUUGCCAUUUCUGUCUUUCAUUUUCAAGUCUUUUACUUCAGGGUAUAACUGAAGACAUGAUGGAACAUAACAUUUUGGGGAUCUUCACACACAUUUAGCAUCUCAAUAAGGAAGAGUGAUCACUGGAAUGAAAGAUGUUGGACAAAUCUUUCCUCAUUGUAGAUUGAGGAUUACUUAUCAAGUCAUGUUAGGGAAUGCAGGAAUCUGAAAACGGUUUUCAGAGGAGCUCUAAUAUUGACUGAGGCAAUUAAAUGGAACCACCCUUUUAACUGUAAACCAAUAAAACUUCAACAAAAUUGUGUAUUUUUUUUUAAAUGCUUUUGACUUUGGAAUGAACAUUCUGUGAACUUCCGCAGUGCCCGUUACACCGCGAUUAGCCAAAAGCAAAGCUCGCACGUCGAAAGAAGUUACACCGCGAUCCGCAAAAAUCAACGCUCGAACUUCAACAGAGGUUACACCGCGAAUCGCCAAAAGCAAGAUUCUAACGUUUGGAAAAAAAUUCCCAAAGGGUAAGUACGACCUUGUUGAUGUUUAAAAUACCAAGAAAAAGAUCAACAAUACCAAGUGACAGGGGUUGGACAGUGAACUUAAGUUUAUGAAAAGAAGACAAAUUGUUAGUGCUCGUCUUGCUGGCGCAUCUGUGACCAGGACAGCAAGUCUUUGUGAUGUAUCAAGAGCCAUGGUAUCUGGGGUAACGUCAGCAUAUCAGCAUGUAGGACGAACCACAUCCAACUGGAGUAAUUGUGGAUACAAGAGGAAGGUGUCUGAAAGGGAUGUCCGGUUGCUAACCCAGAUUUUAUCCACAAAACCACAGAUGCUCAACUUAAUGUGCACCUGAACUCACCUGUUUCCACCAAAAGUGUUAAUCGGGAACUCCACAGGGUCAUUAUACACGGCCGGGCUGCUAUAGCAAAACCUUUGGUCACUCAUGCCAAUACAGACGGUGGUUUCAAUAGUUCCAAAAGCGGAAAUCUUGGGCUGUGGACAAACAUAUUGUUUUCUGAUGAGUCCACCUUCACUGUCUUUCCCAUAUCCGGGAAUGUGGAGAAGCCCCAAAGAAGUUUACUUCCCGGAUUGUUGCAUGUCCAGAGUGAAGCAGGGCUUUCCCUAGGCCCAAUAAUUGUGCAAGAUGUGUGAGUCACUGCCAAGGACUACAUAAACAUUCUGGAGGAUGGUUGAAACAAUUUAUCCUGGAGGUGGUCACCUGGAGGUAUAAGGAUGAAGAUGCAUGAUGACAGAGUGGUUUGAUGAACAUAACGGUGAAGUUGAGCAUCUCCCAUGGCCUGCACAGUCAACAGAUCUGAAUAUUAUUGAUCAACAUUGUGGUGUUUGGGAGGAGCGAGUCAGGAAACGGAUUCCUCCACCAUCAUCACGUAGUGGCCUGGCCACUGUUCUGUAAAAUACCCUCUUGUCCCUCAAGCCACUCUGCAAGACUUGUAUUUGUCAUUCCCAAUACGAAUCGAUGCUGUAUUGGCCUUGUGACAGGCAGAGUGAUGAUGCUUAGACAAAAAGGUAUGCACGUCGGCCCCGGAGGGUGAUUUAUUCACAAUAUUUUGUGUACAGUCCUAACAAAGAGAGAACAAUGGGGAAUACGUGAGUCUCUUGUGCCGUGGGACGGAUCAAACGAGUACUCCGAGACAUGCUGGUUAAGUGAAGACUUUUGUUGUGGGAAAAGCCGAUCAUCAGCCACUGUAUUCUGUGUUAACAGAGAAGAUGGGAGAACAAGGUGUCCCUUCCUUCUCCUGUGCUUAUAAGAGCUAGGUUUAAUUGUGAUCAGGUGCUGACAAUGGGCCGGCGUGUAGAGUAGAUUCCUUUGGGUGUGUCGUUUCCAUGAAGAUGCUGAUUCCACAUUGGGAGACUCGCCACAGCUGCAAAUGGAGGCUCUACACUAUACUAAUACAGUUGUGGUCUAAAACCAGGUGUUUUCAUUGUCCAACCCCUGUACAUCCUCAUAGAAGAUGUUUGACGGCCCUGAAAUAUGCCACUAUUCGUCAUUUCUUUUGCAUACCAAGAUUUGGACUUGAAGUGUUUUCUUCAGUGUGGAUCAAGCCCAACCAUUUUUGCAACGAUGUCCUUUGUGUAUAUAAGAAUAUCAAUUUCGGAAUCUACGUGCAUCAGUGCCACUCAGGAUUUGCUGUAUAUUCUGAAUUCUGUAUAAGAUGGACUCAUACAAACCCAGAUCCAAAGAAGAUAAAGGGUCACCUAUGAAGAAUGGGUUAAAAACCAAGUUAAAAGUGAUUUAUUGGAGAAAACAGGCUUCUAUAUACCUCAGCAUUUUAAGAUUGAAUUAUUGCCAUGCUUUCCAAAAUCAACUGAUCAUCUGGACAACCUCCGCUUACAUCAUUCUGUUAUUAUCUCUUCUCAUCUUGGAUUCUAAUGUGUACAUGAAUCAUCUUUAAAACUCUAAAACUGGACUUUGUGCCAGCAUGGACUUUAUUCUGUUCUUGCUUUUAAGAAUUCAUGGUGAAGGAGGCAUUUUGGUCGACAAGCAUUUACAACCAUCCACAUCAUCUUCCGAACUCCUAACAUCGAACAAAAAAGACCAAACAAAAUCGACCGUUACGAGGUAAAGAGCGCGCAUUAUAGUAAUUUUGAGCUUUCGAAUGUCAACGCGAUUAUUCUAAUCUUUAAAAAAUCGGCCAACGUUUCACAGCUUCAUCGAACCCGUUCAGAGCUGUGACCAUGCAGUCACAGCUGACAUAUCCUCUGCCAAAAACCUGGAGGUGAGUUUUUUUAUUUAAAGACACAAUAAUAAUAUCCACAAAAAGGGUUUGUUGGCACCACUCCAAUUUUGUAGGUAUGCAAUGAGAAACCUCAGGAUGGACACAAAGAAGAAAAGUGUGUUUCUGGGACAAGCUUGGACACCAAGUCUUCUCCAGCAGAUGACAAAAAACAACAGAGCAAAAGAGAUGUUCAAAAUGAGCAGACCGUCCAUACUGGGCUUUCUGAAGAAGAGGAAACACAGUCGACACUUCAGGCUUCCAAGUUACCCUUAAAGAUAUGCGGUGAAAAGAGGCUAUUGUUUAAUGGACCGUUGGAUGAACAAACAUUCACAGAGAGAAGUGGCAAAAAAAUAAAAAGUGACUGCAAUUCUGUGCAAAACUCUGUCCAGACAAAGGCUGAGAUCAGGAAAAAAAAGAAG